AUAUGUGGAUAUACAUAAUAUAACACAGUUUACACAAAUAAUAUUUUAUUUAGAUUUAAAGAUAUUUAUCUAAAAACAUUUCUUAGAAAACUAUAUUUUCUCAUUAUAUGAUUUUUGAAUAUCCCAAUAACAUAUUUUGCUGAUGUUCUUGUUUUUAUUUUGCUGUUAAUGUGUUCAGGAUUUUUCAUAUGUUAAGAUUGUAUAAUACCACAUUGCCUGAUCUGCUAUGGUCUCCUUACCACUGGUUCUGUUAAUUGGCAUCUAGACUUGGUUCAGUUUUUCACUCAGUCAGUGUGCAAUGCAAGGGACACCUUUGGAAAUAUUUCCUGUAACAUUUUAAAAUCUAAAGUAGAGGAUGUACAAGGUGAGAUUCAUCAUUUAUUUUUAUCUUGUAUGAAAUAGAUUAGCUUAAUGGGCUGCUCUGUGCCUGGCAAGAUUAAGCCCAAAAACGAGGAAAGAGGGGAGCAAGUCAGAAGAAGAGGCUAUUCAUUCCCACCUUUUUCAGUUCAAUAGUACCAGUAUCUAUCUAGGAAACCCCAGCAUGUCCCAAUUUUUUCAAUAGCUUUCCUCCUUUACUUUCUGUUUCAGAAAAUGCCUGAGAAUAUUAUGUGUUUCAGAAAUAUAUGCCAAUUAACCACUAUUGAUACAAAUAAAAUAUUCAGCAUGCAA
ensembl:lincRNA Gm43974 predicted gene, 43974